GACGAACGCUGGCGGCGUGCCUAAUACAUGCAAGUAGAACGCUGAAGAGAGGAGCUUGCUCUUCUUGGAUGAGUUGCGAACGGGUGAGUAACGCGUAGGCAACCUGCCUUGUAGCGGGGGAUAACUAUUGGAAACGAUAGCUAAUACCGCAUAACAAUGGAUGACACAUGUCAUUUAUUUGAAAGGGGCAAUUGUUCCACUACAAGAUGGACCUGCGUUGUAUUAGCUAGUAGGUGAGGUAAUGGCUCACCUAGGCGACGAUACAUAGCCGACCUGAGAGGGUGAUCGGCCACACUGGGACUGAGACACGGCCCAGACUCCUACGGGAGGCAGCAGUAGGGAAUCUUCGGCAAUGGGGGCAACCCUGACCGAGCAACGCCGCGUGAGUGAAGAAGGUUUUCGGAUCGUAAAGCUCUGUUGUAAGUCAAGAACGGGUGUGAGAGUGGAAAGUUCACACUGUGACGGUAGCUUACCAGAAAGGGACGGCUAACUACGUGCCAGCAGCCGCGGUAAUACGUAGGUCCCGAGCGUUGUCCGGAUUUAUUGGGCGUAAAGCGAGCGCAGGCGGUUUGAUAAGUCUGAAGUUAAAGGCUGUGGCUCAACCAUAGUUCGCUUUGGAAACUGUCAAACUUGAGUGCAGAAGGGGAGAGUGGAAUUCCAUGUGUAGCGGUGAAAUGCGUAGAUAUAUGGAGGAACACCGGUGGCGAAAGCGGCUCUCUGGUCUGUAACUGACGCUGAGGCUCGAAAGCGUGGGGAGCGAACAGGAUUAGAUACCCUGGUAGUCCACGCCGUAAACGAUGAGUGCUAGGUGUUGGAUCCUUUCCGGGAUUCAGUGCCGCAGCUAACGCAUUAAGCACUCCGCCUGGGGAGUACGACCGCAAGGUUGAAACUCAAAGGAAUUGACGGGGGCCCGCACAAGCGGUGGAGCAUGUGGUUUAAUUCGAAGCAACGCGAAGAACCUUACCAGGUCUUGACAUCCCGAUGCUAUUUCUAGAGAUAGAAAGUUACUUCGGUACAUCGGUGACAGGUGGUGCAUGGUUGUCGUCAGCUCGUGUCGUGAGAUGUUGGGUUAAGUCCCGCAACGAGCGCAACCCCUAUUGUUAGUUGCCAUCAUUCAGUUGGGCACUCUAGCGAGACUGCCGGUAAUAAACCGGAGGAAGGUGGGGAUGACGUCAAAUCAUCAUGCCCCUUAUGACCUGGGCUACACACGUGCUACAAUGGUUGGUACAACGAGUUGCGAGUCGGUGACGGCGAGCUAAUCUCUUAAAGCCAAUCUCAGUUCGGAUUGUAGGCUGCAACUCGCCUACAUGAAGUCGGAAUCGCUAGUAAUCGCGGAUCAGCACGCCGCGGUGAAUACGUUCCCGGGCCU
rnacentral:rRNA from 1 species